rnacentral:rRNA from 1 species
UACGUAGGGUGCAAGCGUUAAUCGGAAUUACUGGGCGUAAAGCGUGCGCAGGCGGUUUUGUAAGUCUGACGUGAAAUCCCCGGGCUCAACCUGGGAAUUGCAUUGGAGACUGCAAGGCUUGAAUCUGGCAGAGGGGGGUAGAAUUCCACGUGUAGCAGUGAAAUGCGUAGAGAUGUGGAGGAACACCGAUGGCGAAGGCAGCCCCCUGGGUCAAGAUUGACGCUCAUGUACGAAAGCGUGGGGAGCAAACAGG